UUUGCUUCCGUCAUGAUACCACCCAUUCAUUGUUGACGAACCGUGCUACGGGAGUUGUAUAUUCAAUAUUAAUAACCACUAAAAAUGGAGUUGCCAGUUACGUACUGCUUGUGUGGUCGCUCAUACGAUCCCGAACAAUUUAUGAUACAAUGUGACGUGUGCAAGGAGUGGUACCAUGGCGGAUGUGUAAAUUUGAAAGAAUACAUGACUGUGGAUCUUGACAAGUAUCACUGUCCACAAUGUGAAGCCAUGUGUGGCCCUUCACUCAUGAAAGUUAGGAUGAAUUGGCACAGGCAUGAUUAUACCGAGCGUGAUGCCGACACAAAGCCUGUUCAAACUGGAACCCCAGUAUUUAUAAGAGAGCUAAAGUCUAGACACUUUCCCAAAGCCGACGAAAUUGUGAAGCAUGUAAGGGGGCAACAGUUAACUCUUCAGUAUUUACAGACAAAUGGUUUUGAAAACCCCAUCAUUAUUGAUGGGAAAGAAGGACUUGACAUGACCGUGCCACCGUCAAGCUUUAGCGUCUAUGAUGUUGAGACUCAUAUAGGUGGUGAUCGGGACAUGGAUGUAAUCGAUGUUACCAGACAGAGUAACAUACGUAUGAAAUUAAGAGACUUUAUAGAAUAUUACAACUGUCCCUCCCGAACAAGGGUACUUAAUGUCAUAAGUCUCGAAUUUACUAACACUGGUCUUUCACCAAUGGUCGAGGCACCGCAUAUUGCGCGCAAACUUGAUUGGGUUAAUUCGGUGUGGCCACGCGACUGGCCCGAGGACAGUGAUAUAAAGCGACCCGAAGUGCAAAAGUAUUGCCUGAUUGGGGUCAAGGACAGUUUCACGGAUUUUCACAUCGACUUCGGCGGCACGUCGGUGUGGUACCACGUGUUGCGCGGCGAAAAAGUGUUCUAUCUCAUCAAGCCAACGCCGGCGAAUCUGCAGCUGUACCAGCAUUGGAUGUGCAGCUCGACGCAGAGCGAAACGUUCUUCGGGGAUCAAGCUGACGCGUGUUACAAGUGCGUGCUCAAGCAAGGCCAGACAAUGAUGAUCCCCACGGGAUGGAUACACGCUGUGCUCACGCCGACGGAUUCCUUAGUUUUUGGUGGAAACUUUGUGCACAGUCUUAACAUUCCGAUGCAGAUACAAAUAUACGAAUUGGAGAGGAAGAUGAAGACACCAGCAAAGUUUCAAUAUCCUGGAUUCGAGACAAUUAAUUGGUUCGCCGCGAAGAAACUGCUCAAGGAACUGAAAGAACUGAACAAUGAAGGGAAAAAGUGCCCGCCGUAUUUUUUACAAGGCGUAAAGGCAUUGCUCGGAAUUCUCAAGCAAUGGAAUACAGACAAGGACUAUAGCAUGGUUAGCCGUGGCCAGAUACCGAACACGAUAAACAGCCAAAAAUUAUUAAAGGAUGUGAGUAAAGAAAUACGACACGCGGAACGGUACUUAAUAUCCCUAAACCCACCGAAACCGGAACGCGAGAGUAAACGAAAGCGAAAGAAGCCGCUGAACAAGGACUUUGUCGAUUUCGAUUACGCCGAUAAACUAGCUGAUAACGCCUUCAAAGCGACUUUGAAGGAAACGAAUAAAGUGGAACCCUCUGCGAUCGAGAAGCCGUUGCCGAGACCGCCGUUGAAGCUCACGUUGCCGAAACCUGUCACGUAUCCCGACGUUAAGACGACCGCGACGGAGAAACCCGCCAAUAGCAAUAAACGACAAUUAUCCAAACCGGGGAAACAGAGCCCGACUGUGAUUAGAUUUAAGCUUGGUAACAACGAAGUUGUCAGAAGUACAAACGAUAAUAUAAGCGUCUACGGUAGUAACGUCACGACCGGUCAUACCCACGGGACGACGAAGGAAUCACUGUCGUGGAAUCAGACGUCGUCCGUGUACGAUUUUCACGACGGCAGUAACGAGAGCGAGUACGGUCUCGUGAUAGACGAGUCGCAGAAGCGGAAACGGACACCGAGAUCGAACGCGCAGAAGCGUUUCAAGCGGGAUUACGACGGUAACGUCAAUGUGUCAAACAAUGCACCUAAAAACGGCAUCGAGGAAUUGUUGAAGGCAUCGGCGUACACGCUCGGCAACGGCACGCAAAGGAUAGACGUCACGUCGUCGACUACGAUUCCGCAGUACAGUCAACCCAUGCCGCCUCCCACUGGUUCUGACAGGGCGUCACCGUCCACGCGGGAGGCGAUCGCCGGGAUGCUCUCGUUCAGCGAGCAAUGUUACUCGACAACGAGUAAUCCUUCGAAAUCGUCAAAGUCUACUAAGAGUCAGCAGGGUAACAACAAUGAUGAUGACGAUGAUCAGUUGAUAGAAAAUAUCGACAAGGUUCAUCAAGAUGAUGACUUUAUUUACCCUGCCUUGGACGCCUCUGACGACGAAGAUUAUAUCUUCAAACCUAAAGCAAAGAGUCAGAUCGACGAAGCGUGGAACCCGAAAGCCAGAGUAGGCCCUCUUUUACCAAAGACAAAUCGACCGGCGCGGGAAGGCGUGAAGAAAACGUCCGUGGAAAAGGGUCUGGAAGCGGCUGCGGCGAAACGAGCGAAACAAUCGGAUGAAUACCUGGAUAACGACAUGGACAAGAUUACCAAGAAGAAAUUGGGUACCAAUAAACGGACGUAUAACAAAAAGAAGCAGAAGGAAUCUGCAGUCACUGCAGCUGGUACUGCAUCGUCCACUGCAGUUGCUGAAAAUGUCAUAAAAUCAUCCCCUGGAUUUGGAUCGAUACUGACAAGCCCUAACAGACUUAGGGAUGUCAAAGCGAAACUUGCAGCACCAGUUCCCGUUGAACGCAAACCGAAGAAGGGGAUGAAAACGGCAAAGCAACGAUUAGGAAAAAUUCUGAAACUUCAUAAGAUGAUGCACUAGAUAACGAUUGAUAGGAGAUAGAAAAGGAGAGAAAACACCGUGUCAUUUUUGACUCGUGUGUAAAAAAAAACACGUGUAAUAGUUGUACAUUGCUAUGUAAAUACAACAAAUUCUUCACUAAGGUGACGUAUUUAUCUCAAGAGGAGAAGCUAUUUGUAAAGAUCGGCGAUCGUUUUCUAAGAGAUACUUAUAUUUAUUACUACAUCGUCUAAUUUUAGUUAACAACGAUCUGGGCGAAGGGAAAACUAUAUCAACCUACAGUUUAUAUAGAGAUACACAACUCUUUCUUAUAUCUCAAUAUAAGAUUGCGAUUUAACUUAUCACUAGUAGUUGAUUGAACAAAUUUAGAUAAUUUACUGAGAAGGAAGUAGAUAUUCCUUCGGAUGAAUAGAAAGAAAUACUCCACCGUCCAUUCUCUGUGCGUUUGUUCGAUGUCACGUGUAGCACUUCAUUUAUUCUUAUAACUUUCUUGUAGCAACUCGCUUAGUUUACACAUCACAGAGAGGCUGUAGGCUACUGAUUUAGUUUUCUAUAUAACUGUUAUAAGAGAGUUAAAAUAAUAAUAAUAAUAAUAAAUAUAUCUGCCAGCCGAGAAACAUUUUGUAUGUAAUUUAUAAAUACGAUGAGGCGUACUUUCUGAUCGUUAUUGCGGAGGUAACAAGCGUGAUAGUGUAAAAAAAUCUCUUAUCGAUUGUUGUAUCGCACAGGAAAUUCAGUUACCUAAUACAUUGUACCUGUUUCCUAAAUGAUACAAAGUGCGAGAUACAUAAAAGCAUGAGACAUUUGGAAGAUUGUAGCCCGGUAGUUAAAGAGAAUUUGCGGUUACAAAUUGCUUCGAUUUCGUAACUUAGACUUUCAAAGUUGUUGACUUUUUCGAGGGAAGGACAACUUUGUACAAAGAAAUAGAAGAUCUUGUGGGAGAAGGUGUUUUCUACUUAAUAACUUGUACGUGUACGUUAAGAUUAGACCCUGAAAUUAAAUUGCUUACGCUUACCAAAAAUUUUGUGAAGAUAAUCAUGUAUGUCUUUGUUAAAGUCGAUUUUACAAGGUUUCGUUUUACAGAUAAUUCUUUAGUAUAUAAGUUUAUGAGUUGAAAUUGCGAGCGUCUUGGUGUCUAAUUUAUGUCGGAAGAUAAAAAUUCACUUCAAAUUCCAAUAAUCUUAAUUAUUAGAAUUUUUAGUUGCGCAGUUUAUUAUUAGUAUAAGUUGCACACAGACACACACACACACACACAUAAUGUAUUAUGAAUAUAGUAUAUUUAUUGUUAAUGGCACUGUACAAUUUAUAAGUUACUGAGAUAAGACAAACCAUUAUGUCAAGAAGCUUGCAGCAUUCAAUGUUAAUGCAUCGUUUAAAUUUUGACGCAACAAUUUACAUUUUAAUGACAGCACUGAUAAAUAGUACAUAUGCUAUAUUUCUCUACUUUUCGAUGUAAGAACUUACAAAAUGCUUAGAAAUGCUUGCCCAUAAGUAUUUCUAAAUAUUAUUCACAAGUUACGUGCUUUGACUACCCGCUGUUUAAGUACCAUUUAUUUUUGUUAUUUUAAAAGUAACAUUACUUCGUCUUAUAUAAAGUUUUGUAAGAAAUUUAUAUACUUAUAUACAUUAGUGCAAUUUCUUAGUCAAGUUAAUGAUUGUAUUGUAUGUACAGUACACAUGUCUUGCAAGAUUAUACAAAGUGACAUACACGUAUACAUAUAUAUAGUUACAUCAUAUAUACAUAUAUAUAUAUUUUUUUACAGAGCAUUCAUCUUGUUGAUUCGAAUCGUGCGUCACUAUUCGUCCGCAUAUUUAUUUCAUUUCUUUCCCCAUUGUACGCCUUCAUCAGACCUAACGACGACAUUUGGCGCGAUACGAUGGCAUUGUAGACUUCCACGAUACAUUGUACGCUGGAUUGUAAAAAACGGAAUUUCCAAUACGACGAAAUUAGUGCGUAAUUUGCGUGCGUGAUAAAUUAAUAAGACUCCUGUCGCGAAUAAUCAGUAUAUUUCGAAUGUGUUCAUUAAAAUUAGAGACGAUAAACGAUCGUAGACUUUUUAAUGUUCGAUGCCGCGAAUACGAUUAUUAAACUCUAAACUGACAAGAUUGAAUAUCAGGGAUGAAGAUGACGUUUAUUUUCAUGAUACACGCUCCUUACUCAUCGCUCGGGGAUGUAUAAGAAUUUUUACAUGUACAAUAGUAUGUCCGUGUACAAACACACGUACUGUAAGAUAGCUCCUCGAUUUAACGAAGUGUAAGUAGUUCUACGAGAGAUUUUUGAAUGGUUUUUUUAAUGCACGCCCAACUUUUUCAUCAUUGAUCUAUUUUCAUGUUGACGAGAAUAUACUUACGUUUGUGAAUAGUAAAAUAAAUAUAUUUUUUUGAAGGAAUUUUUGUCAACGAGAAUGCAACUGCAGUCCGCACAAGACCAGCACUUAUUAUUCAAUGCAGAAUUUCUCACAAUAUAUAUAUAUAUAUACAUACAGCCUCUUAGAAUUAUGCAAACUCGUGUCCUUAGUAAUUUACGCAAAGAAUAUUGUUGAAAAAAGCAUUUAAAGAGAUAUUUGAGGUGCAUUAAACCAAUCUCUCUCUCUCCCUCUCUUUCUCUUCCUCUCUCAUAAUGUACGUUACAUCGUAAAACAGCCGAACAAUUUUUCAUCGUAUUCGCAUUAUCACUGAAUAAAAUGUUGGAUUCAUU
rnacentral:misc_RNA from 1 species